GUUUCCGUAGUGUAGUGGUUAUCACGUUAACUACCCGCACAAGGUCCCCGGUUCGAGACCGGGCGGAAACA
rnacentral:tRNA from 1 species